rnacentral:rRNA from 1 species
UACGUAGGGUGCGAGCGUUAAUCGGAAUUACUGGGCGUAAAGCGUGCGCAGGCGGUGAUGUAAGACAGAUGUGAAAUCCCCGGGCUCAACCUGGGAACUGCGUUUGUGACUGCAUCGCUGGAGUGCGGCAGAGGGGGAUGGAAUUCCGCGUGUAGCAGUGAAAUGCGUAGAUAUGCGGAGGAACACCGAUGGCGAAGGCAAUCCCCUGGGCCUGCACUGACGCUCAUGCACGAAAGCGUGGGGAGCAAACAGG